rnacentral:rRNA from 1 species
AUGGCUGGCCCAACCUGGGUCGCUCCUCCAGUGGGAUCAGCCAAAGUAAAGGUAGACGGAGCUGUUGGCAAUUCAUCUAAUCAUGGAUCUGUUAGUGCUAUUUGCAGAGAUGCCCAAGGGAAUUAUCUUGGAUAAUCGGCACUGGUUUUUGCCGGGGUAACCGACCCGACUACGCUUGAAGCUUUAGCAUGCCGAGAGGCCAUGGCCCUAUCAUCUGGCCUGUUAGAAACAUGCAUCAUUGUUGCAUCAGAUUGUAAAAGUGUCGUGUCAAACAUAAAAGGACGAGACCGGCGGGAAACAUGGUCAUAUCAUCCGGGAGAUAAAGAUUAUGGCAUCGGAGUUCCAAGAAUGCUCUUUCGUUUUCGAAGGAAGAGCUCGAAUCUGGAGGCACAUAGCCUCACUAAACACGCGCUUACUUUAUCUGCAGGCCGUCGUUUAUGGCUUUUGCGACCUCCUAUCAAUUGUAUUCCUCUAAACAGUAUUGAGCAAUAA